AAAUUCCGAUUGAUGUGCAUUUGGCUUGUGCAUCAUGGCAAGGCACCAACUUUGAAUCAAGACCAAAUGAAAUUGGCUCGUGCAUUUUGCUUCAAUUUUGGGCAAUUUGUUCUUUUUUAUGAACUUGAUUGAAUUCAAAAAGAACCAGGUCAAAAGGUUUUAUGAUUUGGAAAUGGUAAUGUGUCAAAGUAGAGGUCAUGACAUGAUUUUAG
rnacentral:lncRNA from 1 species